rnacentral:rRNA from 1 species
UACAGAGGUCUCAAGCGUUGUUCGGAUUCAUUGGGCGUAAAGGGUGCGUAGGUGGCGAGGUAAGUCGGAUGUGAAAUCUCAGGGCUCAACCCUGAAACUGCAUUCGAUACUGCCUUGCUUGAGGACUGGAGAGGAGAUUGGAAUUCACGGUGUAGCAGUGAAAUGCGUAGAUAUCGUGAGGAAGACCAGUGGCGAAGGCGGAUCUCUGGACAGUUCCUGACACUGAGGAGCGAAAGCGUGGGGAGCGAACAGG